GGCGGCCGCAGUGGAAGGAGCAGGCGCUUGAGCUCGAGCGACGGCGCUGGCGGAGACGCCGGCUGCUCCUCCCCUCCCCGCCGGUAUUAAUCUCUGGAGAAGACACAUCCACAGUUAGCACUUUCUUCAGAUGCUGACGCUCGGUGAACAGUUGCCUUUGGUCACAAGAUUUAGAAGACACAGUGUCCAUCCUCCCAGAUUGGAUCUCUUUUUCAUAUGGAUCUUCUGUUUCUAUGUCUUUUUAAAAAAUAACUUUUUGGGAAACCUUUUGGAUUACAACUGUUCAUCCUCACCUAUGCAAAGAAAGGGAAGCUAUUGCUGGGAUUUUGAGGAGGCAGUCCGUUGCCACUGGGCAGUAUAGAUAUGUUGUCCAGCCUGCCAUCACUGGACUGUAGUUAAGGUGGAUGUCUUGUCCAGUCUGCUGCCACUGGGCUGUAUGUAAGGAGGUUCUUCUGUCCACCCCACCGCUACUGGACUCUCUUCCCUGUAGAUGGUCCUAGAACAAUUGGAGAUUCAUACGCACACAAAGAACCUCAACCCUUACCUCACACCAGACA
rnacentral:lncRNA from 10 species